CCUUCCUCUCCCGACGCGUCCACGAUUCCACGAACACACACAUGGAACAGCCGCACGCUCCAGUCGCGGCGGAGGCCGGCGCCGGCGCGAAGGCCGCCGGCGACGCUUACACCAUCCGGCCGCUCGAGCUCUCCGACCUCUCCAAGGGCUUCUGCGAGCUUCUCGCACAGCUCUCCCCCUCUCCGCCGCUCUCAGAGGAUGCCUUCCGCGCGCGCUUCGCCGAGCUCGCGGCGCUGGGCGCCGACCACCUGGUGCUUGUCGCGGAGGAAGCCGCGACGGGCCGCCUCGCCGCUGCGGGGGCGGUUCUGGUUGAGCGGAAGUUCAUCCGGCGCUGCGGCCUCGUGGGCCACCUGGAAGACGUGGUGGUGGACGCUGCCGCGAGGGGGCGGGGGCUCGGGGAGCGACUCGUGCGCCGCCUCGUGGAGCACGCGAGAGGGAGGGGUUGCUACAAGGUCAUACUCAACUGCACGACGGAGCUGAGGGGGUUCUACGCCAAGUGCGGCUUUGAGGAGAAGAAUGUCCAGAUGGGGCUCUACUUCUGAUCUAGGUUCCACUUUAUCGGAUCACACUCCCUGUUUAUGUUGUCUUCGAUUGAUUCGUGGAUUCAUGAUGUGCGAUGGGGAAGAUCUGCAGGGCUAGGGUGGUUGUGCCAGAAUCCAGCUGCGGUGAAAUGAGCACUCCUUAUUCUCUUAUAGAUAGAUUAUCAUGUCUUACUGUGUUUUCCAUGGAUAGUA